rnacentral:lncRNA from 10 species
CCAGGAUGGUCUCCGUCUCUUGAUCUCGUGAUCCACCUGCCUCGGCCUCUCAGGGUGCUGGGAUUACAGGUGUGAGCCACUGUGCCCAGCCCCUUCCCCUUUGCAUUGCACACUCCCACCUCUAUCCGCCUUUCAGGAACCCAAGUUGUGGAAGAGCUUGUUCUCUCUUUUCUACUGGAAAUGGCUUGUUCUCUACCACAGUAGCAGGGAUGGGGAAGUGGCAGGAGGAGAAAACCCCUCCCUCUAUCACCAUCCCCCAAGCCUAAGCAUACACAUACCUUUCUGGCUUAAGUCCUGGCAGCAUACCAGGCACAGCUGUCAAAGGAACUCCUUGUGCCUGUGGGGGGCCCUGGGUGACCCCAAUGACAACAACUCAGCUUGACAGGAGCUCCCUGUGAGGGGCUAACCAACCGCGGUAACAUGGAGGUCCCUGUCCUGGAUCAGUCCCGCCCUAUCUUGGGUAGGGGGAUUGUUCCACUCUAAAAGCCUGAAAGCUUUUCUGCUUUGAGGCACUCAUGCCAGCUUUCAAUGGACUGUUUGAGGCUGGCUGGGCUAUUAAUAGCUGUGAGUAUUUUGAGAUCCCUUUCCCCACCUCAAAGAACACAGAUUCUUAGAGAGGUGGCAGUAAGCAGAGCAGAGACAAGAGAAUAUACCGUUUGGGAAGGGGGCUUCAAGUUUGUGCCAAGCCAGGGACAGAGUGGAGCCUCCACGAGUAGGUUGUGACCAUGAUAUGCAGAUUCUGAGCUGGCAAUCAGGUGGGGGUGGCCCC